UCUACUUGAGUAGCCUAUAAAUGGGGAAACAGGAAGCUGUGGCAGGACCACUCGUACAGAGUAUGCUCUUGAUGCUUACUACCUGACUUCACCUCUUCACUGCUUGAUACAUCAUGGGCGGGGCACUAACACAUCGCCAGUGCACCAUUGAAAUUAGCAACCAGAGCAACUACACCCUGACUGACCCAAGACAGUAUAUCUUCAGUGGACAGUGUGACACUCCUUUGCCAUCAGCACUUCGUCCCUCUGAAGAAGGCAGCGCUCUGUAUGCCAAAUCUUCUAUCUCAGUCUGUGGGUCUGUCAGAGUCUUCACCUACAAUCUGGUGAAUGAAUCGACAAAGCAAACUAUGAACAAAAUAGCCGUCAUGUUCUCUAAUCCCUAUGACUUUACCUAUUACUCUAACUGGUUUGGAGUGGGAAUCUUUUGCAGCGACACAAGCUGUGACUGUAAUCUUUACAAUAAAAUGUACAGUGGUGCCCAACAAGGCUUUAUCAGAGGUAGAGCCAAUGGCCCUAGCCUGAUUUACAAGAAAGAUGAUAUUACCAUUACAUCCACAAUGACAGACUCUAACCAGCCGGUCCUGAAAGUUGAAGUACACAGCACUAAAUUGGAUGAAUAACAAAACCACAAUGUAGCUUUA